AAGCCAUGAUGAUGAUUGCGCUCAAGUGAAGUUAGGAUUCUUCAUAAUCGUCUGAUUACAAGACGACUCAGUAGCGCUUCUGAGCUU